UACAGGACACUGUAGUGGGAAUUUGGAACAACCAGGAAACCUGAUCCAGCCAUCCCCGCGUGUGCGAUGAAGGCCUUCAGCGGGUUGUAAGCACUUUUGGCAGGAAAGAAACGGCACAGGGAUAUUACCAUUACAACAAUAUUACCGGGCUAAAAGCACCACAAUAACUACGUGCCAGCAGCCGCGGUAGCCCGUAAGUGCAAGCGUUAAUCGGAAUUACUGGGCGUAAAGCGUGCUGAGCGGGUUGGAAAAGAAAAUGUGAAAUCUACAGAGCUUAACUGGGCCUGCAUUUUUAACUACCGAGCUAGAGUGUCAGAGGGAGGUGGAAUUCCGCGUGUAGCCAGUGAAAUGCGUAGAUAUGCGGAGGAACACCGAUGGCGAAACAACCUCUGGGAUAUACUGACGCUCAUGCACAGCGUGGGGAGCAAACAGGAUUAGAUACCCGCGUAGU
rnacentral:misc_RNA from 1 species